rnacentral:rRNA from 1 species
CACGUAGGGCGCGAGCGUUGUCCGGAAUUAUUGGGCGUAAAGAGCUCGUAGGCGGCCUGUUGCGUCCGCUGUGAAAGCCCGGGCUUAACCCCGGGUCUGCAGUGGAUACGGGCAGGCUAGAGGUAGGUAGGGGAGAAUGGAAUUCCCGGUGUAGCGGUGAAAUGCGCAGAUAUCGGGAGGAACACCGGUGGCGAAGGCGGUUCUCUGG